rnacentral:rRNA from 1 species
AACGAACGCUGGCGGCAGGCCUAACACAUGCAAGUCGAGCGCCCCGCAAGGGGAGCGGCGGACGGGUGAGUAACACGUGGGAAUUUUCCUCAAGGUACGGAACAACUCAGGGAAACUUGGGCUAAUACCGUAUGAUGCAGAGAUGCCAAAGAUUUAUCGCCUUGGGAUAAGCCCGCGUCAGAUUAGGUAGUUGGUGGGGUAAUGGCCUACCAAGCCUGUGAUCUGUAGCUGGUCUGAGAGGACGAUCAGCCACAUUGGGACUGAGACACGGCCCAAACUCCUACGGGAGGCAGCAGUGGGGAAUCUUGCGCAAUGGGCGAAAGCCUGACGCAGCCAUGCCGCGUGAAUGAUGAAGGUCUUAGGAUUGUAAAGUUCUUUCGCCCGUGACGAUGAUGACGGUAACGGGAGAAGAAGCCCCGGCUAACUUCGUGCCAGCAGCCGCAGUAACAC